GGACAAAGGUGAUCACGGUGGCAUUGCAUAUUCCCUAACCCCAUUGUUUAUAUUGCGUGGUCUGGAGAUUGCUUGUCCGCCAGUGCCAUUUUGUGAGCUUAAUACAGGGUAUUUGGUUCAUUUGGGUAACCAUGACUUUUUCCAUGUCAAGACUGGCAGUCCCAAUAGUGAAGCACAUCCCAAGGUUCAAUAUCUUUGUAUCACCACGUUUCAAAUUGUUGUUGAAGGAGGAAAACAUAUUAUCAGGACCAUAAAUUCAACUGUUCAUCCUGUGGAUGUCAAGGGUCGUGAUUGGUUCUUCCUUGAGUUCUGCUUCACUCCGUAAGUUUCCUUCAUAUUUCUUGUGUUUACAUUAAUAAAUUUAUAUUUUUACGUUGGGAUUAUAUCACCGUUGUUUUUAUGUAAUAAGUUUUCUCAUUAUUAUGACUCAGUGAGUGCGGGGAUUAUGAACCCAUAGAAGAGGACAUUGUGACUAGUAUAAAUCAGCCAAAAGAAGAAGAAACCACUCUGGAGACAACUCAGGAUGAGACUUUUUCUAUGUGGGAGGUGACUCGUAGUGAGGUUCUUGCUCGCCAAUGUCAAAGGUGAAAGAAAUGUGUUUGCAUGAAAUCUUGUUAUUUAUUUAAUGACGUGAAUCAAAAGACUCAAUUACUUGCAUGUCUUAAUAUUAUUGGGUUUUGUAGAAAGAGGCCAAGAAAGAAGCCAAGCUGGAGUAACCGCCAUGUAGUAUGAAGUAGGUGCCAGGCAGCAUGGAAAAGCCAACCAGAAAAAACCCACGAAGUUUAAGAACCUGUAAUGUGAGAAGCUGUCUAUAUGACGAAUGAUGAGUUCGGCAGAAAUUAUUUAUAUAAUUGUCAAUUUUGGAUUAUGGGUUGUUGUAAUUUUCAUGGUGUUAAGCGUUUGUACCGAGAUUAUUGGCUUGGCAUUUGCUACAUAUCUUCCUAACUCAGUGAUUUUAUUUUAUUUUUUGUUUUUUUGGGGGCAUAUGUAUAUAUAUUUAUUAAAAUGUAGUUAAGUAAUUGUCAGCUAUAUGACGAAUGAUGAGUUGGGAAGAAAUUACUUAUGUAAUAAUAAUUGUCAAUUUUGGA
rnacentral:lncRNA from 1 species